GACGAACGCUGGCGGCGUGCUUAACACAUGCAAGUCGAACGGAAAGGCCCUUCUGUUGUGGGGUGCUCGAGUGGCGAACGGGUAAGUAACAAGUAAGUAGCCUGCCCUUGACUUUGGGCUAACUUCAGGGAACUGGGGCUCAUACCGGAUAGGAGCUCCUGCUGCAUGGGGGGGGAUGGAAAGUUUCGGCGGUUGGGGAUGGACUCGCGGCUUAUCAGCUUGUUGGUGGGGUAGUGGCUUACCAAGGCUUUGACGGGUAGCCGGCCUGAGCGGGUGACCGGCCACAUUGGGACUGAGAUACGGCCCAGCCUCCUCGGGGAGGCAGAAGUGGGGAAUAUGGCACAAGGGGCGGAAGCUUGAGGCAGCAAGGCCGCGGGGGGGAGGACGGCCUUCGGUUUGUAAACCGCUUUCGCCGGUGACGAAGCGUGAGUGACGGUAAUGGGUAAAGAAGCACCGGCUAACUACGUG
rnacentral:rRNA from 1 species